ensembl:lncRNA
GCUGAAGCAGAAAGGACAUUCCAUGAGUAAUCCAAAGCUCAAACAUCUGAAAGUAAGUCGGCUUCAUCAAGUUCCUGUCCAGAUACCAACAAGCAAAAGCUUCCUAAGCCAACAGAUUUAGAAGAUUUGACUGCUGAAAAGGAAAACACAACUCAAGUGCAACAAUUGUAAACAUAAGAAGGAAGAAACACGUCAUGCCCAACCAGAACACGCUCAACCUACAAACAACAGCCUUCAUCUUAUGAUAUGAAACCACUUCUAAGCAUCUCAAAAGACCAUUUUCAGAUGGUUAGCAAAGUAACAGCUUGUUGACUCCCAGAGAAAAGAUAGAGCUGACUCCAAUACUGUGGGUGCUCAAAUGCAGCCAUUCAAUAGCAAUAGAACACAACCCCGGCUUAUUGCUUCCCAUUGGUUAUUCUUGAAUAAAUAGGCUUUUAACAUUCCACAUACUGCAAGUGAACUCUGUAUUAGCGAGGGCUAAACCAAAAGCCCCAGGGACAGAAGACUUCUGCCUGGCCCCUCGCUUGCAGCAAGCUGGCUGCCAUUCAAAACCACAUUGCCCCCAUCUCAUCUUCACUUCGCAGGACUUUUUUUUAACCCUGACCUAGAAGAAAACAAAUGUUUUUUAGAGAGCAAGCCCACAAAUCUCCACUGAUGAUUUUAAUUCCAGACUCCUCACCCCUGCUGUGACAGGUCACUAUAGCAGCAUGGGGAUUAGGACACCUAUUAAGCAGUUGGGUGACGUUUUCAGCUGCGUUUCCUGCAGUCCUGCAAACAGCUGCUGCGCAUCACAAAUCUUUGUCCACUUGUAAAUUGAGUUAGGUGAUCAGCAGC